GGAUGAGACAGAAAUUUACAAUCUUUAUUGGUGUUGUGGUUGCAGUGUUGGUGACCGAUUUGGUGUGGUGAUCUCAACAUGAUGGACAAGAACUUAACUGGGGGAUAUUGUUGGAGCCCUGGAGAGCUUAUCGAAUGUCAGCAAUAACGAUUUGAACAACAACUGUUCCUUGAAGUGGUAAACUUUCAUUGUAUUGGUCGUACUGGUCUGAAGCGAUGGGAAACCGAGUUUGACCUGCAUCAAGAACUGAAGUGGUGAAGACUUCCCGCUAUUGAUGAAAAUAAAAUAGAACUUGGGCUAAGCUUGAUUGAUAUUGUGUCAGUUGAG
rnacentral:lncRNA from 1 species